rnacentral:rRNA from 1 species
CCUACGGGUGGCAGCAGUCGAGAAUCAUUCACAAUGGGGGAAACCCUGAUGGUGCGACGCCGCGUGGGGGAUUACAGGUCUUCGGAUUGUAAACCCCUGUCAUGUGGGCGCGAAUUAACAAGAUAGUACCUCAAGAUGAAGAGACGGCUAACUCUGUGCCAGCAGCCGCGGUAAUACAGAGGUCUCAAGCGUUGUUCGGAAUCACUGGGCGUAAAGCGUGCGUAGGCUGUUUCGUAAGUCGGGUGUGAAAGGCGCGGGCUCAACCCGCGGACGGCACAUGAUACUGCGAGACUAGAGUAAGGGAGGGGGAAGCGGAAUUCCAGGUGUAGCAGUGAAAUGCGUAGAUAUGGAGAGGAACACUCGUGGCGAAGGCGGGUUCCUGGACAGUAACUGACGCUGAGGCACGAAGGCCAGGGGAGCGAAAGGGAUUAGAUACCCCAGUAGUC